rnacentral:sRNA from 1 species
UUGCUAUCUGCGAUAUGGAAGAUUCGAACCUGCCGCAGCUUCGGGUCUCACGUAGUGAGACAACGGAGCCGCUUGCGGCGACGGCCCGAAGGGCGAGCAAAGCGAGUCAUCCUGCACGACCCACCA